rnacentral:tRNA from 1 species
GCUUUCGUGGUGUAGUGGUUAGCACGCUUCACGGGUAUUCGAGAGGUCUGUGGUUCGAGUCCCGGUGAGGGCA